rnacentral:rRNA from 1 species
UACAGAGGUCUCAAGCGUUGUUCGGAUUCAUUGGGCGUAAAGGGUGCGUAGGCGGCGCGGUAAGUCGGGUGUGAAAUUUCGAGGCUUAACUUCGAAACUGCAUUCGAUACUGGCGUGCUUGAGGACUGGAGAGGAGACUGGAAUUCAUGGUGUAGCAGUGAAAUGCGUAGAGAUCAUGAGGAAGACCAGUGGCGAAGGCGGGUCUCUGGACAGUUCCUGACACUGAGACACGAAGGCCAGGGGAGCAAACGGG